CCCGGACCGCAGCAUCGCAACACCUAGCUUUGUACCUGUGUGGGCGGACAGAGACGUGACUUCUAGCGGUAAGAAGAAGGGAGGUGGGAUUGCGCUGUAUGUGAAUGAGCGGUGGUGCAACCCUGGACACAUCUGCGUCUAUGUACCCCAAAUGUGGAGCUAUUGGCUGUAGGAUUGCGUCCUUAUUAUUUGCAGAGGGAGUUCACUUCCCCCAUUGUGAUCACCGUCUACUUCCCCCCAUCAGCCGACGCUGAGGUGGCUGCUGACGUCAUCAACACCACUGUCUCCCGUCUGCAGGCGCAGCAGCCUAAUUUGUUUAUGGUGAUUAAUGGGGACUUCAGCCACGUCACCUUGGACAGAACACUUACAGACUUCACCCAGUAUGUUGAUUGUCACACCCGUGACACCCGCAAUGCAUACAGUACAACUGCCUACCCCCACUAGGCAGGUCUGAUCACAACCUUGUCCUGCUCAUCCCAGUACGUCCCUCUUGUCCAACGGCAGCCUGUGUCCAAAAGGAAUAAGGAAGUGGACACAGGAGUCUGAGGAGGCCCUGCAGGACUGCUUUGAGUUCACCGACUGGGAGGCCCUCUGUCAGCCUCAUGGGGAAGAUAUCAGCAGCAUGGCAGACUGCAUCUCAGAUUAUAUCAAAUUCUGUGAGAACUCUGUCAUACUCCCCAGCACUGCCUGCUGUUUCGCCAACAAUAAACCAUGGAUCACCAACGACCUGAAGAUUCUCACUACACUUCUCCCCCCUGUCACUCCCCCCAAAGGCUGCAGGACCUGAUGGCAUCAGCCCCAGGACACUGAGGACCAGUGCCGGCCAGGUGUCUGCUGUUCUCCAACAUCUCUUCUUCCUGAGCCUCAGCCUGGAGGGGGUACUGCAUCUGUUGAAGGCCUCCUGCCUUGUUCCCGUUGCCAGGAAGUCAUCUCCAUCUGGCCUCAGUGAUUACCGUCCAGUGACCCUUACAUCCCAUGUACUGGUGCUGGAGAGGUUGGUGCUGGUCCACCUAAGGCCACAGGUGAGAUGGUCUUUAGACCCCCUACAGUUUGCCUACCAGCCGAGUCUGGGGGUGGAUGACGCUGUCAUCUAUCUGCUGCAGCUCACUCACUCACUCACACCUGGAUGGUGGUGGAGGCUCAUUGAGAAUCACUUUCUUUGAUUUCUUCAGCGCCUUCAACACCAUCCAGCCUUUGUUGCUGGGUGGGAAGCUGCAGUUGAUGGGUGUUGGUGCAUCCACUGUCUCCUGGAUCACUGACUACCUGACAGACAGGCCACAGUUUGUGCGUCUGGGAAGUGUCCUGUCUGACGUGGUGGUGAGUGGUGUGGGAGGCCGACAGGGGACUGUGCUCACUCCUUUACUGUUCACCUUAUACACCACUGACUUUCAACACAACUCUGAGUCAUGACACAUCCAGAAAUUUUCUGAUGACUCUGCAGUUGUGGGGUGUAUAAGCGGUGGAGGAGGAGUAUAAAGGACUGGUGGACAGAUUUGUGGAGUGGGCUGGAGGAAUCACCUGCUGUUUAACUUGGACAAGACCAAAGAGAUGGGGAUUGACUUCAGGAGGAAGUGAACAGAUCCUCAGCCCCUCAGCAUCCUUGGCAGGGAUGUGGAUGUGCUGAAGGAGUACAAAUACCUAGGAGUGACCAUCGACAGCAGACUGAACUGGAGGACCAACAGUACAGCUGUGUACAAGAAGGGCUGCAGCAGACUCUACUUCCUGAGGAAGCUGAGAUCCUUCACCGUGUGCAGUAAGAUGCUGGAGAUCUUCUACUAGUCUGUUGUGGCCAGCACCCUCUGGCUCUGUAAUUGGCUACACACAGGAAACUUUUGAAGUGGUGGUGGAGAGGAGGACACUAAACAAACUGUUAUCAAUCAUGGAUAAUCCUGGCCAUCCUCUCCACCAGACGAUAGACAGACAACAGAGCUCCUUCUCCAAGAGACUUAGAGAACUCCGUUGUCUCAAAGAACACUACAGGAAAUCAUCCCUGCCUCAAUUUACACGCCUGUUUAAUUCCUCAUCGAUUGGGCGGACAUGAAAACACACGUGCAGUAUACCAAUGUCAACGUAUGCAGACGCAGCUAGGGGGAGAAUUUCUCAAGUUCAUCUUGGACCAGUUGCUGUUAUCUGACAACAGUCUGUUAUAUGAACCCAAGGCUCCUUCAGGAACCUCUGAUGAGCAACUGAGAGAGUUCAUUAAUCUGAGUUGAUUAGAUUGAAACCAAGUGAUCAGUUGUUGAGUGUUAAAGUAUCAGCUGUUAAAUAUCAGAUGUAAGGAGAGUGUUGGAGCUGAACGAGAGGAGAUUCUACAGUCGGCACUUGAAGCUCCUUCAAGAGUUUUUGACAUUGUUGUUUCAUGCAAUAAACCUCUUUUAAA